AGUGAACGCUGGCGGCAGGCCUAACACAUGCCAGUCGAACGGCAGCACAGUAAGAGCUUGCUCUUACGGGUGGCGAGUGGCGGACGGGUGAGGUAUACAUCGGAAUCUACUUUUUCGUGGGGGAUAACGUAGGGAAACUUACGCUAAUACCGCAUACGACCUACGGGUGAAAGCAGGGGAUCUUCGGACCUUGCGCGAUUGAAUGAGCCGAUGUCGGAUUAGCUAGUUGGCGGGGUAAAGGCCCACCAAGGCGACGAUCCGUAGCUGGUCUGAGAGGAUGAUCAGCCACACUGGAACUGAGACACGGUCCAGACUCCUACGGGAGGCAGCAGUGGGGAAUAUUGGACAAUGGGCGCAAGCCUGAUCCAGCCAUACCGCGUGGGUGAAGAAGGCCUUCGGGUUGUAAAGCCCUUUUGUUGGGAAAGAAAAGCAGCAGGUUAAUACCCCGCUGUUCUGACGGUACCCAAAGAAUAAGCACCGGCUAACUUCGUG
rnacentral:rRNA from 1 species